UAAAAAAAGGUAAGCUACUAAGAGCGAAUGGUGGAUGCCUUGACUGGUAAAGGCGAUGAAGGACGUACUAGACUGCGAUAAGCUACGGGGAGCUGUCAAGAAGCUUUGAUCCGUAGAUUUCCGAAUGGGGCAACCCAAUGUAUAGAGAUAUACAUUACCUAUAUAGGAGCGAACGAGGGGAAUUGAAACAUCUUAGUACCCUCAGGAAAAGAAAUCAAUAGAGAUUGCGUCAGUAGCGGCGAGCGAAAGCGCAAGAGGGCAAACCCAGUGCUUGCACUGGGGGUUGUAGGACUGCAAUGUGCAAGAGGUAAGUUUAGCAGAACAUUCUGGAAAGUAUAACCAUAGAGGGUGAUAGUCCCGUAUGCGAAAAACAAACCUUAGCUAGCAGUAUCCUGAGUAGGGCGGGACACGAGGAAUCCUGUCUGAAUCCGGGUCGACCACGAUCCAACCCUAAAUACUAAUACCAGAUCGAUAGUGCACAAGUACCGUGAGGGAAAGGUGAAAAGAACUGAGGUGAUCAGAGUGAAAUAGAACCUGAAACCAUUUGCUUACAAUCAUUCAGAGCCCUAUGUAGCAAUACAGGGUGAUGGACUGCCUUUUGCAUAAUGAGCCUGCGAGUUGUGGUGUCUGGCAAGGUUAAGCAAACGCGAAGCCGUAGCGAAAGCGAGUCUGAAUAGGGCGCUUAGUCAGAUGCUGCAGACCCGAAACGAAGUGAUCUAUCCAUGAGCAAGUUGAAGCUAGUGUAAGAACUAGUGGAGGACUGAACCCAUAGGCGUUGAAAAGCCCCGGGAUGACUUGUGGAUAGGGGUGAAAGGCCAAUCAAACUUCGUGAUAGCUGGUUCUCUCCGAAAUAUAUUUAGGUAUAGCGUUGUGUCGUAAUAUAAGGGGGUAGAGCACUGAAUGGGCUAGGGCAUACACCAAUGUACCAAACCCUAUCAAACUCCGAAUACCUUAUAUGUAAUCACAGCAGUCAGGCGGCGAGUGAUAAAAUCCGUCGUCAAGAGGGAAACAACCCAGACUACCAGCUAAGGUCCCUAAAUCUUACUUAAGUGGAAAACGAUGUGAAGUUACUUAAACAACCAGGAGGUUGGCUUAGAAGCAGCCAUCCUUUAAAGAAAGCGUAAUAGCUCACUGGUCUAGUGAUUUUGCGCGGAAAAUAUAACGGGGCUAAAGUAAGUACCGAAGCUGUAGACUUGCACACAACUUAGAUUAUUUAAGUUUAGAAUAUGAGAAACUAAGUUAUAUGUUUAGUUAUAUUUUUACUGAUUUUUAUAGAGUAAAGAUAGAAAUAAAACUUAGUAAAAUCAGUAAAAAUAUUCUUAGACUAAAGUUAAGUAGUUUAAGUUGUGUGCAAGUGGUAGGAGAGCGUUCUAUUUGCGUCGAAGGUAUACCGGUAAGGAGUGCUGGAGCGAAUAGAAGUGAGCAUGCAGGCAUGAGUAGCGAUAAUUAAUGUGAGAAUCAUUAACGCCGUAAACCCAAGGUUUCCUACGCGAUGCUCGUCAUCGUAGGGUUAGUCGGGUCCUAAGUCGAGUCCGAAAGGGGUAGACGAUGGCAAAUUGGUUAAUAUUCCAAUACCAACAUUAGUGUGCGAUGGAAGGACGCUUAGGGCUAAGGGGGCUAGCGGAUGGAAGUGCUAGUCUAAGGUCGUAGGAGGUUAUACAGGCAAAUCCGUAUAACAAUACUCCGAGAACUGAAAGGCUUUUUGAAGUCUUCGGAUGGAUAGAAGAACCCCUGAUGCCGUCGAGCCAAGAAAAGUUUCUAAGUUUAGCUAAUGUUGCCCGUACCGUAAACCGACACAGGUGGGUGGGAUGAGUAUUCUAAGGCGCGUGGAAGAACUCUCUUUAAGGAACUCUGCAAAAUAGCACCGUAUCUUCGGUAUAAGGUGUGGUUAGCUUUGUAUUAGGAUUUACUCCGAAAGCAAGGAAACUUACAACAAAGAGUCCCUCCCGACUGUUUACCAAAAACACAGCACUCUGCUAACUCGUAAGAGGAUGUAUAGGGUGUGACGCCUGCCCGGUGCUCGAAGGUUAAUUGAUGGGGUUAGCAUUAGCGAAGCUCUUGAUCGAAGCCC
rnacentral:rRNA from 1 species